GUACUGGUAGGUUAUUUAAACUGACAAAUUGUGGUUUUGUUGAUUACGCUUUUGAAAGAUUUUUGUA
rnacentral:tRNA from 1 species